rnacentral:rRNA from 1 species
ACGACUCUCGGCAACGGAUAUCUCGGCUCUCGCAUCGAUGAAGAACGUAGCGAAAUGCGAUACUUGGUGUGAAUUGCAGAAUCCCGUGAACCAUCGAGUCUUUGAACGCAAGUUGCGCCCCAAGCCUUCUGGCUGAGGGCACGUCUGCCUGGGUGUCA